AUUUCACUGACUAGAAUUACCAGUACUAUGUCAAAUAAGAGUGACUAGUUUGGACAUAUUUUUUCACAAUCCUGGUAGAAUAAAAGCAUUCAUUUUUUCAUGGUUAAGUAUAUGACUGAUGAAUGCCAGAUGCCUCUAGUGAGCCACCUUGAAUCACUAUUCUGAAUACAUCUUGAGUAAAAAGAGAAAAUUGCUCAUGUUUCCAUGUCUAUCUGAAUCAUGUUAUUGGACCAUGAGAGCAAGCAGCUGGAUCUCAUUCUGUCCAGGCUAUUGCUAAGGCAGGCUGGCUGCCUUCAUCUUCCCCAGUAUUCUAGGAUAACCUCAAAGAAAUCACAACAGCUUGUUUUCUACAAUUAAAACAUUUGGGUUUUGAUAGUGUGCAUGGUCUACAAAGAAGUGAGAAGUGUAGCUGUUUGUAUGGAAUCUUAUGGUGAACAUUGCUGGCUCCAACAUAUAACUUGAUUGGUGCGACAUCAAGGUAAAUGAAUCCUCAAAGAGCUAGCAAAUGGAUCAAAUAAAAGUA
rnacentral:lncRNA from 10 species